rnacentral:tRNA from 1 species
GGGGAUGUAGCUCAGUGGCAGAGCGCCUGCUUCGCACGUGGAAGGUCCUGGGUUCAAUCCCCAGCAUCUCCA